AUAUGGGGGGACCAUCCUCCAAGGCUAAAUACUCCUGACUGACCGAUAGUGAACCAGUACCGUGAGGGAAAGGCGAAAAGAACCCCGGCGAGGGGAGUGAAAAAGAACCUGAAACCGUGUACGUACAAGCAGUGGGAGCACCCUUUGGGGUGUGACUGCGUACCUUUUGUAUAAUGGGUCAGCGACUUAUAUUCUGUAGCAAGGUUAACCGAAUAGGGGAGCCGUAGGGAAACCGAGUCUUAACCGGGCGUUAAGUUGCAGGGUAUAGACCCGAAACCCGGUGAUCUAGCCAUGGGCAGGUUGAAGGUUGGGUAACACUAACUGGAGGACCGAACCGACUAAUGUUGAAAAAUUAGCGGAUGACCUGUGGCUGGGGGUGAAAGGCCAAUCAAACCGGGAGAUAGCUGGUUCUCCCCGAAAGCUAUUUAGGUAGCGCCUCGUGAAUUCAUCUCCGGGGGUAGAGCACUGUUUCGGCUAGGGGGCCAUCCCGGCUUACCAACCCGAUGCAAACUGCGAAUACCGGAGAAUGUUAUCACGGGAGACACACGGCGGGUGCUAACGUCCGUCGUGAAGAGGGAAACAACCCAGACCGCCAGCUAAGGUCCCAAAGUCAUGGUUAAGUGGGAAACGAUGUGGGAAGGCCCAGACAGCCAGGAUGUUGGCUUAGAAGCAGCCAUCAUUUAAAGAAAGCGUAAUAGCUCACUGGUCGAGUCGGCCUGCGCGGAAGAUGUAACGGGGCUAAACCAU
rnacentral:rRNA from 1 species